rnacentral:rRNA from 1 species
CCUACGGGAGGCAGCAGUGGGGAAUUUUGCACAAUGGGGGAAACCCUGAUGCAGCAACGCCGCGUGGAGGAUGAAGUCCCUUGGGACGUAAACUCCUUUCGACCGGGACGAUAAUGACGGUACCGUAAGAAGAAGCCCCGGCUAACUCCGUGCCAGCAGCCGCGGU